UACGUAGGGUGCAAGCGUUAAUCGGAAUUACUGGGCGUAAAGCGUGCGCAGGCGGUUAUGUAAGACAGAUGUGAAAUGCCCGGGCUUAACCUGGGAACUGCAUUUGUGACUGCAUGGCUAGAGUUUGGCAGAGGGGGGUAGAAUUCCACGUGUAGCAGUGAAAUGCGUAGAGAUCCGGAAGAACACCGGUGGCGAAGGCGGCCUGCUGGGCAGUGGCUGACGCUGAGGCGCGACAGCGUGGGGAGCAAACAGG
rnacentral:rRNA from 1 species